GGGAAAGAGGAGGAGGUGGUGGCACUGCUCUGACCAAGUGGGAGAGUCCCUGGCAAGAGAUACUUCUCCCUUCCCCUCGCCCCUUGCCUCCCGGAGAUCCCCCACUGAGGACAGCCUGGAGGGCGGGCACAGGCACCAGUCAGCACCUUUGCUGGUGCAGAGCCAGGCUGGGGUCCCUGGGGCCUCGGUUUCCUCGGCUCUCCAACGGGGCUGGUCCCUUCCUCUCUUGCUUUCCCUCCGAUCCAGCCUCAGGGCAGAGGGGAAGGCCAAGGAACACACUUUGGCAGAUGAGGAUCCGAGAGGCUGAGUAACUUGCCUGAGGAAAAACAGUCAAAGAGUGGAAGUAUCACUUGGCUGCAUCUGGAUCCAGAGUCCCUGCGCUUUCCACUGCCCUACUUAGAUGGCCCUGGGUCUCCUAUAAUAUCAGCACAGCCUGGUGCCCCCAAGGCUUUGAAAAAGUCCCACAGAUUGGAACCCAGCUCAGCUCCCAGGCACCCCCCAGGUCGGGAGGGAGAAUGCAGCUUUAGAACCUUAGCUGUCACCUCUGCCACCACCUUCUUCCCGGCAGAGGGACUCCCUCCAAGACUGGGUAAGGGUGUGAAAAAGGGGCAGCAGUGGGCAGGAUGGGGGUCAGACGCCGAGAGGGUAGCAAAGAUUGGAGCAUCAGGAAGUGAACAUGCCUGGGACUGUUGGGGAGCAGCGAUCCAGGGAGAGAGCUUGGUGUUUGGGGAUUCGACUGAGGCCUGUGAAGGAGAAGCAGAUGGGGCCUGGGGCUCCCCCAGAGUGUGGC
ensembl:lncRNA